rnacentral:rRNA from 1 species
AUGCCAGUUACUAUUGCCAAUCUAUCUACAGAGCUCUACUGGCUUACAAUAGGCAGAAACAAAAUAGCUGGGACCAUACCUGCAGGUUUAGGGAAGUUUCAAAAACUUAGAAAGGUCAUCCUCGCAGAUAGCCUUUUCACGGGCACCCUGCCUCUGGAUAUUGGCCAGAUUCCUGGCCUCCAGUAUCUUGACCUAUCCCAUAAUAGAUUCUAUGGGCGGAUUCCACAGUCAUUAGGCAAUAUCACACAAUUGAGCAACCUCUCUCUAUCUAAUAACUUUCUAGGUGGCAGCAUUCCACCAACCCUUGGUACCCUCACAAAACUUGUAUCUCUGGAUCUUUCCGCUAACUCCUUGAUGGGGGAAAUCCCACAGGAGAUACUUAGUAUUCCCUCUCUUACCUUACUUCUCAACCUCUCCAGCAAUGCUCUAAGUGGCUCCAUUCCAACACAGAUAGGGAAGUUGAACAGCCUUGGCAUAAUCGACCUAUCAAUGAACAAGCUGUCUGGUGAAAUCCCAGACGCUCUCAGCAGUUGCGUCCAACUGAAUUUCCUAAAUUUGCAAGGAAAUCCUUUGCAAGGGCCAACACCGAGAGGCUUUUCUUCUUUGUGA